rnacentral:tRNA from 1 species
GAGAUGUUAGUNAAAAUNAUUAUAUAACUUUGUCAAGGUUAACUUAUAGGUUAAAAUCCUUUAUAUCUUY